CUCUCCACCAUUGCGGUGCUUACGGCUUGGUCUCUUUGGCGUCACCGUAAUGAUGUGAUCUUCGACAAGAUAGCUCCCUCCUCUACCUCUCUCCUAGUGGCAAUUCAAGAAGAGGCACGCUCCUGGACGAGCGCCGGAGCCAAAGGACUUAGCACUAUUAUUCCUGAAAUGUAG
rnacentral:rRNA from 1 species